rnacentral:rRNA from 1 species
UACGAAGGGGGCUAGCGUUGCUCGGAAUCACUGGGCGUAAAGGGUGCGUAGGCGGGUCUUUAAGUCAGGGGUGAAAUCCUGGAGCUCAACUCCAGAACUGCCUUUGAUACUGAGGAUCUUGAGUUCGGGAGAGGUGAGUGGAACUGCGAGUGUAGAGGUGAAAUUCGUAGAUAUUCGCAAGAACACCAGUGGCGAAGGCGGCUCACUGGCCCGAUACUGACGCUGA